rnacentral:rRNA from 1 species
UACGUAGGGUGCGAGCGUUAAUCGGAAUUACUGGGCGUAAAGCGUGCGCAGGCGGUUUUGUAAGCCGGAUGUGAAAUCCCCGGGCUUAACCUGGGAAUGGCAUUCGGGACUGCAAGGCUGGAGUGCGGCAGAGGAGACUGGAAUUCCUGGUGUAAGCAGUGAAAUGCGUAGAUAUCAGGAGGAACACCGAUGGCGAAGGCAGGUCUCUGGGCUGACACUGACGCUCAUGCACGAAAGCGUGGGGAGCAAACAGGGA